rnacentral:rRNA from 1 species
AAGGAAUUGACGGGACCCGCACAAGCAGCGGAGCGUGUGGUUUAAUUCGUUGCUACACGAAGAACCUUACCUGGGUUUGACAUAUAGGGUUUGUAGGGGAACCUGAAAAGGGACGACCCUUCGGGGAGCCUAUACAGGUGUUGCAUGGCUGUCGUCAGCUCGUGUCGUGAGAUGUUCGGUUAAGUCCGCUAACGAGCGCAACCCUCGUCGUAUGUUAUAUGUGUCAUACGAGACUGCCGGUAAAAGCCGGAGGAAGGUGAGGAUGAUGUCAAGUCAGCAUGACCUUUAUAUCCAGGGCUACACACACGCUACAAUGGUCUGUACAAUGGGUAGCCAAGCCGCGAGGCGGAGCCAAUCCUGAAAGCAGGCCUCAGUUCAGAUUGCAGUCUGCAACUCGACUGCAUGAAGCCGGAGUUGCUAGUAACCGCAGGUCAGCAAUACUGCGGUGAAUACGUUCCCGGGUCUU